GAGUUUGAUCCUGGCUCAGAACGAACGCUGGCGGCGUGCUUAACACAUGCAAGUCGAACGUGAUCCAGAGCUUGCUCUGGUGAAAGUGGCGCACGGGUGAGUAACGCGUGGAUAACCUGCCCUGGUAUCUGGGAUAACAUCUCGAAAGGGGUGCUAAUACCGGAUAAGCCUACGGGMUCUUCGGAKUCUGCAGGAAAAGGAGGCCUCUAUUUAUAAGCUUCCGUAUCAUGAUGGGUCCGCGUACCAUUAGCUAGUUGGUGGGGUAAUGGCCUACCAAGGCGACGAUGGUUAGCUGGUCUGAGAGGAUGAUCAGCCACACUGGAACUGAGACACGGUCCAGACUCCUACGGGAGGCAGCAGUGGGGAAUUUUGCGCAAUGGGGGAAACCCUGACGCAGCAACGCCGCGUGAGUGAUGAAGGCUUUCGGGUCGUAAAGCUCUGUCAGAGGGGAAGAAAUGAAACGUGCUAAUAUCACGUUUUCUUGACGGUACCCUCAAAGGAAGCACCGGCUAACUCCGUGCCAGCAGCCGCGGUAAUACAAGGGCGMMYYMWRM
rnacentral:rRNA from 1 species